rnacentral:lncRNA from 1 species
UUUUUUUUGGUAAAAACGAUAAUUUAAAUUACUCUAACGUAAGUAUAACCAGCCAAAUCAUAAGAAAGCAAAACAUUCAAAGGAGAUGGAACAUUUGCUACCGAUAUCCAAAGAAACUCUCCAGAGUACCGAGCAACGAAGGAGGCGACACAGUCUGCGGCCCUGUUCGUCUUACGACAUACAUGUGCAAUUUGAAACUCAACCGCUUCCUAAAGCAGCCUUCAAGUCUCCCGAAUGAGUGGAUGACCAUCACCGUACCUAUCCACACCCUGGAUCCAAUUGAUCACCAAAGAAAAGUCCCCCUCUAGAUACACCUACUCGGCACGAAGAACCCACCUCGCAUAAGAUAUACCCUCCCAAGCUGCUCGAAGCUCUGCCCCAACAAUAGUAAGACUUGGUGUGCGGCGCCCUCCAACAGCUAUUAGCCUGCCCAGAGAAUCUCUGUCACGAAAUCCACACCUCCAAACGCACCAUCCUCCGACACGCUACCAUCGAAGUUCACUUUGAGAUGACCAAGAGUUGGGGUACUCAAGAAAUAAAGACGAACCUCGGCACUAUGACAGCGGAAGGAGUGCCCUAGAUGUCCCUAGUCAACCCAGAAGAUAACAUAGCAGUAGCAGCGAUGACCUCCCCCGCAUGUAGCGUAGCCCUAUCCACCACCAUCCUCAAAGAAUCCCUCCUGCCCUCAAAGAGGCCAUCAUUCCUGUCCAACUAUAUAUAAUAAGCUAAAUAUGCUCUAAGGAACUCCACAUCAGCAGAGCUGGGACUUUGCAUGGAGAUUCUCAACAAGUGAAUUAGAUCCUGCACCAACUCUAUCGAGUGGGGUAGGGGCAUCGAUGACCUACUCCAUAUCUCCCUGGCCCUGAGACACUGCAAAAGAACAUGAUCUAUGGUCUUCUCGGUAUUUGUGCAUACCUCACACCACUGAGAAACCCGCACACCACGCCUAGCAAGCAGACUCCUGGUCGGUAGGCUCCCCAUGCUACCUUCCAGAUGAAGAACGCCACCCAUGGGUGAAUCCACAUUCUCCAUAUCCAACCUUCAUCUAUUUGCCGAGCUGACUCCCUACUGAAUAGAGCAUGUAGAUUCCUAGCUCGCACCCGCGACCGCCCGACGACAACCACACUAGCCUGUCAGGUUUCUUCUGAGCAGAAGUCAGAAGGGGCAAGACCAUCUCUGCCAAUUGCUCUCCAAACACCUUCCAAAUCAACCCAUCCCUCCACAGACCCCCAACUGGGUCCAACAAAUCACGGACCCUGCACCCUGCCUAUCUCACCGAGUCCACCAUGGUCAGCAAGCGAUUGAUCUGAGCUCCUUCACAACCCUCUGCACCCCCCUUCCAAAAUCUUUCCCUCUUCGGAAUCUAUCCCCGCCCCAAAUAAAAAAAACUCCAAACCUACUUCACCUCCCACCAAACCACCGCACAACCCCACUCCACCUCCCGCCCCCAACCCUCUCAUCCAAUGAUCGGGCCCAACAAGCCCACCGCAUAACUCCAAUCACCAUCUCACUAGUGGGCCCAAUAGUUCGCACCAUCUGUUCAGGACCCGCCCACCAGCACUUCUGCGGGCCAAUCGAGCCCGCGCCACCUCCUAACAGCCCACUUCCACUCUUCAAUUCAAGGGCCCAACAAGCCCUUUCUUCCACGGGCCCACCAAUUAAAAUUAUUCAAGUCUGCAAAUUGCUAAAGUCAGAUUCAGUUCGCUAAUUGAAGAGCCCAUCAGCUGCAACCACACCCUGAUCGUCGCCCCAACCUAGGUCAGGUUUCUUUCCUUAUAAAAAUUAUAUCUAUUUGUCUAAAUUUAGCAUCAAUUAACUCUUAAGUGUUUUAUUGAUAUUGCUUCCUAAAAAAAAAAUUCAACACACCCACUCGAGACAACAGCAAAACUCUAAUAUUGGUCUAUCUUUGCUAUGAAUUGUAAGGUACUUGAUCUUUGGAAGUUCUUUGAGGCUCUGUGCAGCCCCACAAUACACUGAAUAACUAGUACUAUCUGACUGCAACUACUUGCCGAGAUUUAUUACGUAAUUUUGAGCUAAUUUCGAUUGCUAGAGGUUAGUUUCCGUUUAUAUUGAGCAUAUACGUUGCAUUUUAGAUAUCAUUUUCAUGCAUUAAGUCUGCCUAAGAACCACCACUGUCUUAGCUUUGUAGGGUCAAGCAUAAUUUAGCACCCUUCGUAUAUACACCUUCGUAGUGUCGUCCCACAUUCCGAUACCUAAUCUACUAUGGAUGCUUGCAUCGAAGCCCUAAUGAAGGCAGUCCAGAACUUGACCACAGUAUCCACCCAGGCUUACGCUCAACUAGACUCAGCUGAGGCUAACCUUCAGAGGAUUAUAAGAUCCAAAGAAGGUAGUGCCUCCCAUUUGGAUGGCUGAGAGGUUGAGGAUGAAACCUUAGACCAUCUAGGGUCGGCUCGACAAGGUCAAUUUGAUCCUAGCUCUUUUUCAGGCCGUCCUCAAACCUACCCUCGUCAUAGAGUACAAGGUUCCUUUUCUAAUGUCAAUAGGGGUUAUCGAUACAACGUAGAACUUAGAGAGCCCCGUGAUCAUGAUGAGAAUGUGUUGAAGAGCAUUAGGGUUGAAGCAUCCACCUUCGACGGUCGCCUUGACCCAAAGCUUUUCUCAGACUGGCUAUACGAAAUGGACCACUUCUUUGAGUGGUAUAACUUGUCUGAUGAAAAGAAGGUCCGAUUUACCAGAAUGAAGUUCAUUGGUUGAGCUAAGUUUUUCUAGCAAAAUACUGAACAACUUUUGGGUAGGAAACAUCAACCUACCAUAACUGAUUGGAUAGAAAUGAAAAAAGACACUUAAGGAGAAAUACUUGCCCAUUAGCUACCAAGACGAUCACAUCACACAAUUUGAUAAAUACAUGAUGCGAUGUAAUGUAAUUGAGGAUGAGAGAAUGGUCCUGAGUCGGUUCUAUAGAAGUCUCAAUGAUGAACUCAGGAAGGAACUUAUCCUUCGAGUGGUGUCCACGUUAGACCAGGCCUAUACAUUCAUAAUGAACUAUGAGCAGGUCUCCAAAUCCAUAUUUGUGAGGUGCCCUAGCAUUCGGGGUGCAUCCACGAAUCUUAAUUCUUCAGAGUCCAUACCUUCUAUAGGGUCCUAUGCCCCUAGACCCCCUCCUACUAUAUCUAUCACAAAUCGGGACCCCAAAGGCAAGGGAAUCCUCGGUGAACCCCCAAAGCCAACCCCUAGAAUUCAGUGCUAUAAAUGUUAGGGUUUCGGUCAUGUUGCCUUCCAAUGUGCCAAUAAGACCCUAGUUAUUGAUCAACAAGAUUCGAAAAAUGAUACAGUUGAAUUGAAAGAACAAGUUUAUGAACCAAACAUCAAUGACAUUCAGGACAUUGAUGAGGAAGCGCGUGAUGAAGAAGCUAAUGCCCUAAGAUGUAUCCGCGCUAUACCUAUAUCUGUUGCGCCUUUAGAGAGAUAUUCUGACCGGUCCACUAUAAGUGUAGUCCACAUCCUGCAUCCUGUUGAAUUUAAAACUUGGGGUUACGUAAUGAUCCGUCUUAAGGAAGUGCAGUCCCUUAGUGUUGGACUAUUCAGGGUGUUGCACAAGGAUGGCACUGACGCCUCUACCAUCGACUUUCCAUUUGAUUUGGUAAUAGUCUUACUUUUAAUAUCAAAGAUUUGAUUAUAAUCCCUGAUGACUUUUUUUGCUGAACCCUCUCCCGAGCCAAUUGCUUAUCUUAUUACUGAUUCCAUGCCAUCUUCAUCUCCUUUUUUUCUCCAUCGAACACAAAAAGAGUAUAUUGAUUCUAUUUUAGUCGAGCAAAUAGUUUUUACGAGUGAUGGAGGCAUCCAGUGUAUCCUAGUUCAUUGGCGAGGACGACCGAAGUCCGGCUACACUUGGAUCCCGUGCGAGGAGCUACAACCGAUUGAUUCGGACUUGUUGGAGUACUACCGGUGCUACACCGAGCCGCUUUUGUCGAGGUCGACUUCUUUCCACCUAGAGAGAGUUGGUGCGGAUACUAGUACCAGAUCAGCCGGUCGCCAUAAAAUCCAUCCAGUUCAGCCAGUUCAGUUAGCUUGAUGUUAAUGAACCUAUUUUCAUUUCAUUUUGGAUGGAAUAACCUAUGAUCAGCUAGUUCUUCAGUUCUUAAUUAACUUAAGAGUCAUCUGAUAGUAAUUAAGAUAUCAUCCUAUCAAUCUAACAUGACCUAAGUCACUAUUGGAUUAGUUUUAUCAUCUAAAAGUGUGGUUGAGGUAUGAGAUUACUUUGUAGAAGUCGCUUUUGACAUAUUUUUAGUUGAACUAGAUGAAUUAUAGAGGCAAUCAUGAAUUUUAGUCAAUGUAAGAGGCCUUGGAAAACUAUAGAUUCCCCAUAUAGUCAUUUCUUUUACAUCAUAUGACUAGUGAAUUGAAGCUUUUGAAGUUCUCUAUUGAUAUUGUUCAUGAUUUGAUUCCACCUUGUUGUGGUGUGACUUGGUAGUAACUUUCUCCAACUUGAAGGCUCUAAGUGUCGAUGAAGAAAUGGGAAGCCCAAGCAAUGAUCAAUAUGAUUUGAUUGGAUCGAGGGAUUAGGUUGAUGCAAAUCUAACAAGUUAUCCUAGCUUAAUUUAGCUUCUAGUUGUUCAAGUAUUAUUGAAAUAGGAGAGUCUAGAGCCACCACACGCCACCUAGAUCUUAAUCUAGACUUCGGGGAAGACUAUGCUUGUGCUUGUGCAACUAGUACUUUUAGUUGGGGUUAAACAUUAAGAGAUGAUGCCAAUCAAAAUUGAACCCCCGUACUCUUGUCCGAGAGGUGAGAGGGUGUACCACUGGGCUAUGCACUCAAGUUAUUUUUUUCUCUUUUUGAGCAAUGUAGUUAUCUUUUUGUGUUUUAUAGUUGUUCUAGUUUAGAUCAAGUUUUCUAGCUCUUCUUUCUUUUUCUUACUUACUAGUUAGUUUUUAGAUCAAGCUUUCUAAUUAUUUCUUGCCUUUUAUAAAACCUCAAUGCCUUUAAUAGAAAAGCCUAUGUUUAGGUUCUGUCAGGUUUAUUGCAGCAGUCUACACAACAAAUUGUGUUCUAAUUUGUGAGCGUCCUUAAUCAUAUCACUUCUGCAACCCCACGUAAGAUAUCCUUUUACUUCCUUGUGCACACCUUGACUUCAUGUAGCUGGAUCCACUAUACUUCUUAUUCAUGUAGGUAAGAAGAGGCUUGAUAGAGGGAAAAAUGGGUCAUCCAGCCCACAACUAAAAGGCCGCCCAGUUUUGGCACAGUAAACAUCAACAACAAUCGGAUGAAUUUUCACCUCGGCCCAGGGCCAGCUCAUCCUCGGAACUUCGCCGAAAGCUUCACCAACUCCGGACAUUCGCCGACUCCUCCGACCAAGUUCGGGGUGCCUCCAGACAAACGCCGACCCGUCCCGACCAAGUUCGGGACACCAAACCCCCAGCAAUACGCUCCGACUUUGAGCUCGGGGUGCACAUCCGAACACACCUCGAAACCUACGAAACCGAGCUGCUCCCAGUAUCCGCCAAGCCGACCUCAUCAAGCGCAUAACACGACUACUUAACGAGCUCGGCCUCGUCAGCGACCGCACCCAUGUGUGGGCCUAUGCCCACCUACAUGACCGUACUCUACCACACUACCUUGUCAUGUCUCCAUAAUCGGCCAACAGCAGUCAGACGACACCCUGCCUAUUCCAGCCGUACUUUGCUGUGACUUCAACGCCCUACUGUUCUCAAGAACGGACUGUACCGCACAUUACCAGCCAACUUGAGCUGCGCGCCAUUCGGCUCAAAGCCAUACUCUCUCAUGAUGGGGACUGACAGUACCUCCAUCACCUGGGCCACUCCACCGAGGCUAUAAAUAGCUCGGUCAAGUAAUUUCAAAGGGACCUUUGGCUGGACCAAAAUUACCCACUCUAGCUUAAUCGUCGGAGGGCCCCCAUCAGAAACACCGGUGAGGCUUUGUGUAGGACCGCGGCCGUCGCGCAGGAGGUGACUCCCGUCUCCCCCUUUCCAGCACCGGCAGCUCCCUUGGCUCCACCGACGUGGUCACCCUCGGGCCAGAUUUGAACCACAACAAGGCCCUUUACCUGCAUCACAUACUCAACACCACUUUAUUCUUCAAUUUUUUUUCCUCCUAAAACCAUUAUUAUAUGUACCUUCUUAAUCACUUGAACCAUCUUUGACUAGCCUAUGGUUGAUAUGCAUAAUUAUUAAAAUUCUAGGUGCAUAAAAAUAGGUUUUUAGGCUUUGUCCAAACCAUGGUGACACAUUUGCCUGAGAUGCCAAAUCUAAAAUAAACCAUCUGUAAUUAGGUUGGUCUUCACCAACCCAAAUUUAAUCCUAUUAUUAAAGUACCUAGUUAUUCUAGGCAAGUUAGUUUGGAUUGCCUAUCUAUGUAAGAAAUCACCACCCCUAAUAAUGAUAUUAUGAUUCUUUUAAUAAAAUAAUCCAUUUAAGUGAUACAUAAUAUAUAUAAUUUAUUAUUAAAUGGUAUUAUCAUUUUGUCGACAUAUAUUUCAUAAUAUUAGCAAUAUAUAUUUUAUAUAAUAUUCAUAUUAAUUAUUGUUGAUGUAAUAAAAAAGAAUAAAAAUAUGCUACAUAAUAUAAUGUUAUAUCUACCAUUAUACAUUAUUAUUAGUAUAUAUAUUAGUAAAUUUAAAAUGAUAUAUUACUUUUACAAUAUUAAAAAUGCAAUAUAUACAAUAUUAAUCAUAUACUAUGUACUCAUAAUAUAUGAGCGAGACUAGAAGAUGUUAAGUGCAUUUGGGAUAAUAUGCUUCCCAACAAAAUUUGAUGAUGAACCUUUCAAAAUAAAAUCCUCACCAUGGGUCAUGAUCUAAGACAUCAAAAUUGGCUAGAAAGAAAAGGUCAUCAUUACUAGUCUUUAACCAAUGUAUUAGAUCAUGAAAAACUUUAACAUUAUAACACCGUGUUCUUGUUCAAUCUAUAGUCUAUACAUUUCCAAACCAGAUAAAAUUUGACAUUUAUAUGUCUUGAAAUAUUUAGAUCAUGAUCAAAGGCUUGGGUUUGCAAAUCAUGUAGUUUAUGAUAUGUUUUUUGCUCCUUAGAUAUAUUGCUACAAUUUUGUUCUUGCCUAAUGCAUAUGCCAAAAUCCUUUACCAUAAUUGAUUUUUAAUCUUUAAAUAUUUUACAUAAUAUAGAUCGGGAACAAUGGUAAGAGGCUUGCCAUCAGUUUCAAUGGGAAGCAUUUGAAGCUCAAUAUAUUGAAGAGCAUUUUAUCCUAACUCCAAUAUAUAGUUCAACGUACAAUACAAAAAUCAUGGUAUGUUAAUAUAUACUAGAUUAUGGUAUGCACCAUGGAUGAUGAUAUAUAAUGUGUCUAAAUGAUAAGAAAAAACAAGUGAUUAAAAUUCUAAAAUACAUGUUAUGUUAAUAAUUUAAUAUAAAAUAUUACAAUAAACAAAUUCAUAUAUUUUAUUACUAUAAAAAUAUAUUGUAUCACAGUAACUAUUAAGUGAUUUGUUUGGUCAAUUGUAUGGAGAUUAAGGAAAUAAGUUGCCAUUAAUUUUUAAAGUUGGUAAAUUUGUGGGCAUAGAUAUAGGAUAAAACUACUUGCAGCCAUUAUAUGUAGGCUUAAGCAAAAAAAGUAGAUUUUACAACUCAAAGUAAAAUCAAAUCAAACAAAAGCUACAAAUCAAUUUACAACAUUAUGAAUUUCAAUUGCAAGUGAAACUAUAGGAAAGUGGAAGCAUAUUUAACAAAAUAUCUCCUAAAUCAACUAACUCUCAAUGAAAUAAAAAAAAUCUCUAAGAUAGUUAUACUUCUUUCAACAACCAAAAAGUAAAAAGACAAAGAACUUGUGUUUAUCAGUUGCAGUCUUUAAGCAUCCAAGCAAAAUGAAAUAGUUUCUAGCUGAAAUUUCAAGUAGCUAAAAAACUAUAAAUUGAACCAUAACAUUUUAAAUUGCAAUUGCAAUGUAAAUUACAUCAAAGUGGAAACAAGUACAAGCAACCCAAUGUAUCCUAAUUGGACUAUUCUCAGAAUAAAAAACUUCUUAUGGAUUGGAUUAUUAAUUUAAAAGGAAAUUUAUUAAGAAGAGUAAUAAUUUCAUAUAUCAAAAAUAUUAGAAGAGAUAGCAAAACGAGUUUAGGUCCUAGCAACUCUAUUGGUCAUUUUAGAAGUGUAAUAUGUUAUUAUAAGUCAAUUUUGUUUAACUAAAUUUCUGCAAGCAAUUAGUUACAUUCCAAAUUCUACUAAGAGGAUUAAAUGAAUUAGGCAUUAAGAAUUUCAAAUGUUUAAGUGGAAAACCUUUUUUUUCUCGAAAAAUGCUUUCAGUUCAUUGAAUAAUAAAUACUUUAAUUUUUUUUGUGAAUCCUACUAUAUUACCUUGGUUAGAUACCCAUUUUCACUUGUGCAUCUAACAAAAAAUUCACUAGGAAAUGGAAAAGAGAUGACAAAAUGAGGGAAGGGACAAAAAAUUCUACUUGCCAUUUUAGGAGUGUAAUAUAAAAUAAUAAAAUAAUUUUGUUAAAGGUGGCCCAUGCAGGUAAUUAAUGAUACUAGAAGCUUCACAAUAUUCAAGCACUAUCCAUUCAGUUAAAUAUUAAAUACCAUAAGUUACUAAAAUAAAUUCUUCCGCGCUCCUAUUCUUAAUUACAUAACAAUUUUUGUCUUUACAUUUAACCAACUUCCAAAAAGGGAAAGAUAAUCUUUUCCUUUACCCAAAAAGGAAAGAUAAUCUUUUUAAUAAUAAAUUUUAGUUCGCAAAGUGAUAAGUAUAAAUUAAUUUUCCAUUUUUGUCGCUACAUGCAUUGCUAAGGAAAGCCAAACCAAAUAUAGCCACGCUUGCGGCCUUGCCAUUCUCUAACGUCAUUUGUCUCUACUGCACCCGGCCGUUUGUUUAUUACCGUUAGAUUAGGCUCAAUGCAUCGGGCACGGUAGUUCUGUAAGUACCGAGCCCAAAAAGGGAUGCGAUAAAUGCGGACGCCAAAGUCGCGGCUCCAAUCCGGCACUGGAUAUCCUUCAGGCCCGUGACGCCGUUUGCGGGGUCGGAGCGGGGGGGGCAUCGGCUGACCCUGCGGGCCUUAACCGUCUAUCAUUUCUUCCCCCCAUAUAAAUAUAUUAAUAUUUUCCGCUGAGCUCGUACCAAUUCGUUCGAGAGCGGGAACUCGUCCACCCCAGCGAAAACUCGAAAACAGAGCAGAUGGCGGCCAAUGAAGCAGAGAGGAAGGUAGCGGAGGAAUCGCCGGCUGAGAAAGAGCGCGGCGCGGAGGAGGUCGUCGACAGGGAGCUCACGGCGCCACCGGGCUGGAGGAAAAAGGUUCGAUUUCGAUUCUUUCCAUCUCUUUUUUGGGGACCUCUGGUUCGUUCUUCUCUUCUCAUGCGCUAAUUUCUUGUUUCCUGCCUGUUUUUCUGCUUCUGAGACGAGAUCUUGGUUUCCUGCUUUGCAUGCUAGGGUUUCUGAGCUUUUCUUUGGCUGUUUCUUGUGGUUCCUUGAUCAAGAUUUAUUUUGGAGAUGUUUUGGUUAAUAUUAGGAUUUUGAGGCUGUGUUUGGUACGGACUUUGGGAGAUUUUGAGGUUCUAGGUGCUUGAUUGCGGCGAAUUAUAGUGUUUCCUUGCUGAAUCAGCUAGAUGAAGUGCUUUGGUGUUGGGGUGAUCUAGGGUUAGGUAUGGGUUGUUUGCUAAUGGUAAGUUGUUCCAGACGAUGAAAAUAUUUGGCUUGUGUUUAUCUUUUCGAUUCUCUGUACUGGCUAUAGGACUGCAGAGGAAAAGACCUGUGAUGUUUUGGUGCAAGCGGAGUGGAGGGAAAUACUGCUGAAUAUAAUUUUCGUACUAGGAUUGAGUUCUUUUUCGCACUAAUGAAACAUUUUCAGGCUUGCUGCAAACUUCUUUUUUGUUUUUUUUGUUCUUUGCUUUUUUUGUUUUUCGAUUUUUUAUGCGUGAGUGGGUGCGCGUGUGCAUGUGGUAGAGUCUUACAUCUGGUUACAGAAAAUAGGAUAUCUGAAGUAGUUGAAGCUUGAUUCCUACUUUUAUAGUACAAUAGCUACCUAUGCAAUAAUUUGAGCUGCACCUGUAAAAUCUUUAGUUCUCUACAGGAUUCACUGUACCGGUGCUGGAUCGUUACCGGUACCGGACCCCAUACCGGUGCCACAUUAGUAUAGUAUCAGUACGAUAUGUUUUGAAAUUUUUUGGGUAUACCGAGUGUCGGUACGUCAUCGGUAUCGGUACUGGUAUCGAACUAGUAUGGUAUGGUACAUCCGGUACUGUCCGGUUCGGUAUGAUACGGCAUACCAUGGUUCUUUUUGCUAGAACAUUCUGGAGUGCACAUGAACCCAUAAUGUACUUAUCCUGUAAUACUUUUUAGUUCUAUUUUUUUUUCCAUUUCAAAGUGUUAACAUGGUACUUAGAUUAUACUCAUCACUAUGGGGUAUUUCUGAAAGCAGGUACAUGCUAUAUAUUAUUCACCUGAAUGUGUAAUCAUAAAUAGCAAAUUCUAUUAAAAUUAUUUGUGAGGCUGCUUUCUGUACUUUACAAUUUGUUCAUGCUAUCAAAUGUCUGAGUUUUAUGUUAGAAUAAAUAGAUCUGUGUGAACAUAUUUAAUUGCAUGGAAAGUAGUUCAACUGGUGGUUUGAAAUCGUACGCUUGUCAUUGUUCCCCUCUAAUUUUUCUUUUCUAGCUUCUAUGGUUGUGGUGUAACUUCGACUAUGUAAUCACUGCUGAUUAAUCAGUCUACCAUAAGAUUUGGGGAAUGAAAUAUAACUUGGCUUGUUUCAUUAGAAGUUAUAGUCUUCUAGUUUAUUAAUAAUUAUAAUUUUAGUAGUGGUUUCAUAAAUUAUAAUCAACCUACGAUCUCUUGUGUGCCCCCUCAGAGUUUUAGAUUAACCUGUUUUUCUUAAGUUGUAGAGUGUUUGAUGAUUAAUGUUUUGGCUCUUUUAUGGAACCAUGUUUGAAGUAUUUCGCUUCAGAUGAUUAUCGGCAUGAUCAGUGUUGUUGGUAUUGAUUUUGCCUAGAUGUUUUCUGCUAUAGCCUGCACAGGAAUAAACACUCUAUGCUACACAUAAAUCAAUUUCUGUUAAUUUCUGGGUGGACUAUACUUAAGGGACUUUAUCAUCAAUUUAUUUAAAUGGAUUAGGAAACUUCUUCCUUAUCCCCCAAACUCACAAAUGCACCCUACUUGUGAUGGGAAGACUUUUAAUCAGUAAUGUGCUUCCAUUCACGGUAAUUAUGGCCAACCUACGCCACAUACCACAAGUAUGUGAAUUUGCAAAAAUCAUAUUAUGCCAUGUUACUGAUAUGUUUCUUUUCUUACUUGGGGUUGCAGCCACAUUGGCUUUGGGGCCUAUUUAGGCUUGAUUAUAUGCUGCCUCAGGCUGGAAUUUGUCCUAUUUGAAAGCCUUGGACAUGCUCUGCACAAUGUGCUAAAAUAAGAUGGAAAUUCACCACUUCAAUCCACAAAUUGAAACAAUGAUACAAAACCAACAAUGUAACUUGACAAAAACUUCCAGAUGUUGUCCUAAGUAUUUAUGACAUCUAGGUACAAGAAACUAGAUUAUAAGUAGAAGUUCAACAUCAAAUUGCACGCCAUUGAGAAAAUAAAACCCUUUCCCUGAUGUAUCUGAUAAUAUCAAUUGCUGAUUAGCUUAUAUAUUAUCCUCUCAUUUUUAAUUCUCUGCUCAAAACCAUUAUGUAGUGUAUUUUUUUUAUUAAAACUUGGUCUCCUUAUUCUGUUUUGGUUUAUUUAGUUAAGUCUAGCAUUAUUGGAUGUUAGCUUGUUAGAAUUUAUGAGCUAAAAUUUUUUAAGUAGAGUAUGCAUAUUGCUCAUGUUAUGUCUAUCAAUAUGAAAUUCCUGUUUAUUUUAUUUUAAGAGCUUAGAUCUAUUCAAAUGGGUAAACCUUUUUGUCUAAUUGUUCUUGUCUAUGUACCCCUGUAAUGCAUGAAGUUUGCUAGGUUCAAAAAUGGACUUCCUUUUGGAUGUGAGUGAAUGUACCCUGCAGCAAUGGGGCAUCAUUGCAUGUUGAGUCACAUAGUAUGCAAUACUGAGUCAACCUUGGUAAGAUACAUGAUGGAUUGUAAUUAAAAUGAGAAAGAUGAUUCUUUGAUACUAGUAUUGCAAUACUUGGAUACUUGGAUAAGAGUAUGAUACAUGAUGGAUCUGAAGUCCUUAAGAUCUUCUAUAUUGGAUUAGAGAUGACUGCAAGUAUUUAACUAGUAUCAAUGCUUUAUUGGGUUAUUUAAACAAUGAAAGGACAACAAUGUCAAAGGCUCUUCAUGAGAUCACAAUAAAGUGGAUGGAAAUUAGAUUCUUCUCCUGUCAUCAAGGCACAUAUCAUUCAUAUUUGCCCCCUAUUUAGAAGGAUCCCAUCUUUUGUCGUAACCUCCAUGGUUAUCAAUUCCACGAAAAAGAACUAUUUUACUGCAUUUGUUGAUUCUCCAUGGUUUUUUUGACUUUGUAAGGAAGUGCAUUUUUCUUCAGUGGAUCUUGUGACUAGGACUGCCUCCAAUUCUGUAUUGCUUUCUCUAAAAGAGAACCUAAACCCUAUCCUUAACCCUUGCAGAAUAUCAGAGGCUAGUCAAAACAAGUGCAGGAAUCACCAAGCUAAUUAGCUCUCAAUAGAAUGAUGUAAUCUAAUUUUAAACUCCAAAUGUUAUUAGAUGCCCCUUUGGAAACAAACAUAAGAAAUAUGACACCACAUACCUCUAUUAUUUCUGGAUUUGUUUUGUUACUCAGCCUAAAAGGUUUAUGUCAACAAUUCCUCUUGAUUCAUAUGUUCUUUUAUAUUAUGAUUGUGUAAUAAUUCUCAAUGGUUUUGCUAAUUUAAACUUUGAGCAAGAUUCCUUGUAGAUGGACCAAUCUGAGAAAGAGUUGGAUGUUAGCUUCAAGAUAGGCUUGAAACAUAAUGAAGCUUUUGUCUUCCACAAGUCCAUAACUUCAUCUAGUGGCUUUUAAUAUAACUAAAUAGAUCCACUUAUCAAUAGAUAAAACUAAUCUAAGAAUCUUUUGCAUAACUGUCAACUGAACGCCUUUCCUAGGCUCAUAACCGCCUAGUUAGGUUUCAAAUUUUAUCUUGAUAAAGCAUGACUUUAUCAUCUAGUAAGAUUUUAGAGAAAUUGGGGGCAUUUGGUAUUUGAAACUACAAAGGGUAAAUAUGAAUAAAAUUUAUGUAUUUAUAGCAUAUGCUACUUAUAUAUAUGCCAUAUGCCAUUUUAUUUAAGGUAUUUUAUUCAACAAUUAUCAGUCAUUUAUAUCUCAAUUUUUUAAUUAUAGCAGUACAUGGGCAUGUUCAGUGCAUACUUUGUAAAGUUUGAAAUUUAUGAAUAAUUUGACAUUAGAAAAGUUGGAAAAAAGAUGAAAUCAGUAUAAGUAUGGAUGGAAUGCAAUCUAAUGAGGCAACUUUGAAAUCUAUGUGAGAUUCGUUUUACAAUAACCAAUACCCAUAAUUAUUGUAUAAUAAAGUUUGAAUUGUGAAUCAUUACACCUAAGGGCAAGUUUAAUAUGCCUGAAGACCCCAACUUGCUCUUUUAGUAUAAUUUAAAUUAACCUCAUGAAUAAGAAAAACCUAGGUAAAAUGAUGCAGAAGUGGGGGUGGAAUCAUAAAGAAAAGAAUGAUUAAUAUACUGAUAAAGUGGAUAUUUUUAUUUUCAAUUAUAUUUAGGAAGUAAAUUAUCAAUGAAGAUAUCUGUUAUAUAUUUAUAAAAUAUGACUGCAGUAUGGUAGUAGUCUUGUUUAAGGGCUUACUAGAUGCUGGAGUUAAACAAAAUGUCAUAAGUAGGUCUAGGGACCUUUUCUUUUGUGGAAUAAGAUGGAAAAUGCUUACGAGGCAAUGAAUUUUCUGGUUUGAUGAUCCUCAGUAAAAUCAUAAAUGGUUCCAGAUGAUCUAUACUGGAGAUUUUGGAAGAAAUGCUAAAGUGUGGAAUGAAGUGGGUUGUUUUGAUGAGGAGUUGAAGGUUAUUUUGGCUUUCUUUGGAAAAGAAUUGGGGAAGUGGCUGAUUAAUUGACUAAUUUCUGGUGUUUGUCAAUCCAAAAAAUCUUUUGCAACUACCAUGAGCAAGAAUAUCAGAUACAUUGAAACCUUACUUUUCACUUAUGAAAAUAAUCUACCAAGAUUUGUACUUUAGCUAUACUGUUGAAUCCUCUUUAUAUUUUUCCUUUCUGUUGCUGAUUGAUUUACAGCAAGGUAACACAGUUGAAAAUAUAUGAUUGUAGGUGUGGAAAAUGAAAAUUGUUGGGGCUAGUGGAGCCUAAAUAGAUUUUGGUGAAGGAGAUCUUGAAAGGGAAGGGAUUAAGGUUCUUCAAAUAGGUACUUCAAAUGGGCUUUGAUGGGAGGAAAUGUAGCCAAGACUUGAAUAAUUUUGCCAAGUAAGGUGAUAUGGGUGUCUAUUAUAUUUCACAAAAUGCCAUACAAGAGAAGGUAGUUUCUGAUGAAGGCAUUAAUUUGUAAGAAAAUAAUUAUUAAUUGUGGUUUUCUUUUAGGACUACUAGUUCUUCUUAUUUUAAAUAAUUAUUGAUAGAUAACUUGGUGGCAUUAGCCCAUGAGGAUGGAUUUUGAGGUGAUCAAAAGGUGGGAGAAAGGGUGUAGAAUUUCAGGAUGAAGUGGUCAAACAUGGGGUAUUGAGGACGGAAAAAAGUUCUUGCUUCAAAUGGUUCCCUUUUUAUGUAAAGUUUUGGCAGAUUUUGAAGGGUGAUAUAAUGAAGGUUUUCCCUGAGAUCAACUAGCAUGUUUUUUUUGUACAGGAUUUAGUUGCACUUCUUCUUCUUCUUCUUCUUUUUCUAAGGAAGCCAUUACAAAAAAUAACAGAGAAGUGAUAGAUCUUGAUCUUUUAAGAGCAAUCCAGUUGUUGAGUGGAUUUGUUUCCAAUUCUUGAACAAAUCAAAUAGAUGAAAGGUUGAAAACUCUUUAUGUUUGAUGGUGCUAUGAACAGAAAUGAGUGAGUUCUGUGCAAAAUUUUAUCUCCGAAGUAACAGAAAAGGCCAUGGUACUCAAACUAUGAUGUGCUUACAGAUUACUUCCCUUCUCAGCGUUCCCAUCCAAGCAUUCUUUUCUCAUCCUCCAAUCUGAAUUUGAGACCCAUAAUGCUUGCAGCUGUCUCUGGAAUUUUCUAGAUGAACCAUGUUAAAAAGUUUUUGCAACACAAUUAAAAGAAAAUACUCAAAAUAGCAUUAGAAAACAAAGUAAGGGAGACACUUCUAUCUUUUAAGGUUUGUUUUGGAAAGAAGGUCGAUGAGUAAUGUCAAUGUCAACUGCUUAAAUUUUUAACUUAAUAUCUAAGCAUACGAACCAAGGUCCAGCUUGUCCACCUGUUUAAGUCCAUCUAGAACUUGAGCAAUCCUCAAACC